rnacentral:lncRNA from 1 species
AUAGAAAGUCAUUUCCCAUCAUUUCCCUCAAGGUUCCUAUGGAUAGAUAUUAAAGGUUCAGUGCUUAAAUUUAACAUUGCAAAAUCCAGCUAAAAUUGAAAUUUUUAUGUAGUGAGUUCAAUCUCAUCACAGAAGUUUGUAAAUGGGAGGAACCUUAGAAAUCCUUUAGUCCAGCACUUUCAUUUAAGCUUCCACGAAGAAACUGACAUAAGACCUACAAUGGCUCACUCAAGGUCAUCCAGGCUAUCGAUGCCAUUAUACAUCUUUUUCAAAGGGCUUCAUUUUCCAUCUAAACAAAUUAUCUACAUCAGAAUCCACCUAUUUACAUAGGGCUUAUCUUUCUGAUAUUGCCUUUGCAAUAUCCUUGUUAUAAAGAGGAAGGAACUGAAAACAAACAAAACAAAACAAGGUUGUCUUGUCCAGGGACAUAGAGGAAUUGGUAAAAAAGACAAUUAGUACACAAAGUGAUGGGGUUUCCUAUUUGUAGUGUAGCCUUGUAGUCACACUGUGUUCUCCGAAUGCCACAAUGCUAACCCAAAAUUACUUGUCCUUCCUGGGCCUGGAUUCCAUUCAAUUUUAUGCCUUGUUUAGUCUAAAUGAUUUCCCCAGCUUCGACAUGUAUUUAUUUAUUUAUUUAUUUAUUUAUUUAUGCGUUUCAUUUUAGAAGUAUACUUAAAUCUACUCUUUACUCGAGUUUGUCUUAGUUCUAGUGCUGAGGAAUGAAGAUUCUGGGUAAAAGAAAUCAAGAUGAUGUUUUUUUUUUCUAGGCUUUACAUUUCAAGGAUUGUUUCUCAAAUGGCAACUGGCAGUCUACUCCUCAAAUGAUGACGUUUUCCACAGGAAUUACAAUUUAAUUGGAAUAUUUUGUUUUCAAUGGGAAGCAAAGAUUUCUUUCCAAGAGGAUCAGUUUGAUAAUGUUUUACCAGCUAGUGCUACGAGACCAAAUAUAAACCAGUUCUGAGAAACAGGAAGUGAACUGACUGGUCUAGUCUGAGUGUCCCUGGCAGUGACGCAAAUACAGAAAUCAAAUUAGGAAAACAAGAUAUGUGGGUGUGAGGCAAUCGAUAAUAAUCCAGGAUGCUACAACAUAAGCAAGAAUGCCUUUAACCCGAUGCCAUUCAUUUUAAUAACACCCUGAGCAGUUUGAUUUCCACGGAACACGCUGGUGAUUAGAGAGCAGCAGGAGCUUGGGUUCCCUAGCAACAGCAUGUGCUUUUGAGACAGUCAUUAGCCUUUCAGUUAAUCCCAUCAACCCCUUACCUCUAAAUGUAUGACUGACAUAAAAAAAAUGAUGUUUUAGAAAGUGCUUUGAAAUUUCCAGGAGUGCAAUGGAAGGGAAUAAUCAUAAUUAAAAAGUUGUCUGGAGAACUACACUCCAGUGAAGGAAGUAAUGUUCCUACGUGCCAAGCCUGUCCGUAUAUUUCCCUGCUCUCAGUUGUAGGUUUCUGAAUCCCCUGUGGCAAAGGGCAAGGGAGGUGAAAUUGUUCAGAGUUUCAGGCAGUCUUCUCACCUAAAGUGAGUAGUAUUGCAAUGUCUCUUGGAAUCAUGGCUCUGAAGAUGAGGAGAGAAGCGGGAUGGGCAGUUUGUGUGGUGAGGAGGCUGGCUGCAGGUAGGCUGGGAGGGAAUGUCACACAUAGUUUUCUUUCUCCUUUAAGCCGAAUGAGGUAUGCUGGUCAAAGGAACUUGGGGAAGGAGGAUGGUGAGGGGAAUGAAGUUCUUCUUCCUAUUGAUUGUUUUGUUGCACCAGAGGCUGUUUGUCCAAGGCCACUGGCCAAGAGCAUUAUUUUCGUGGCUAAAGUGAGGUUGGGCAGGUUUCCCAUCCCUUUCACUAGUUUUGAACAAGACAACCCAGAAAGCGCAGCAAGGCUCUGGGAAUAUGAUGUGGGUUGGCUUUUCCUACUCAGCUGCACCUUAAAGCGCCAGGCCGAUGGGCUGAUACUUCUCAAACCCUGAAUCAUUGCCUCCAGCUCUGUCCUGGGUUCAGGAUGCACCACUCCACCCUCUGUGUAGCUUGGGGUCAACUUCGGGGCGUCACUCCAAUAGUAAUUAUUGCUGCGUUUGGCUGGACAUCCUUAUUACGGCCUGGGUCCCUCUCAGCUGGAAACUGGGCUCCUUCAGUUUGGCUGGGGUGACUUCUAGCACUUCCCGCCGCCCCACCUUACCCCCCUGCGCGCUCCCUUCCCAAGGCGACCACCUGCACCGCCCCACUUACCAUCUGCCCCGCGGGGAGGGCCCCCCGGGCUAGCGGAGCCCUCCCUGCUCCCGGGCGGCUCUGGAGGAGCUCGGUGUUUGCCUCUAGCCCUUCGCUACCGGAGGAUCAGGUUCCUCCCCUCCUCCCCCUCCAGCUCCGGCCGCCGCCGCCGCCGCCGCCGCCUCCUUCUUGCAUGACACAGCAGAACCGCAGCUGCUGCAGCAAUUUCAAGCCAUCCGCCCAGGAAGCGCCGCAACCGGGACUCGGGAGGGGUGGAGGGGGCGAGGCAGAGGCCGCGGCCCCAGGGGAUCCUUGGCCCCACUGUGCACCACACACUCCUUUCCCAGCCCAGGGGCACGCGAACAAAAUGAGGCUCAAGCUGACCAGGCCGAGCCGGAGGAACGCUGGGGCUUGGCAGCAGAAGGGAUGGGACCAGAGAGAAGGGUGUGGAGGAGACCCCAGUGAGGGCCAGGACAUUUCAGGUAAAGAGAGGUAAGAAGAGGCCCAGAAGUCAAGGGCCAGACUGUGAAGGUGAUUAGAGGUCAAAAGAGGUAAGGAGGUAGAGUUGCAAAGAAGAGAGGCCGAGCUGGGAAGGGCGUGGGGGUGGGGGUAGCUGCAGGGGAGGGUGGGGGGUACAGUCUUUGGGGAGGCCCGAGCUGAGCCCCCAGGCAGAAAAGGGGCUGAGUUGGGAGGCAAGGGAGGUAGGAGGAAAGGGAUGAAAAGAAUUAGGCAUGAGAUAGGAAGGUAAAACUUGGGAGAGAUAUUAUAGAAUUAGAAGGGUUGGAAUGGAGCUCAUUCAUCAUGGCUGAUGAAGUAAACUGAUGAGGUGGAGAGAGACAGAGUCAAGGCAAGGCCAAACGAAAAGAUCUUCCAUCCCACUCUUCAGUUUCUUGCGAAGUUUUUCUUGAUUCCGCCAAUCCACACAGUUUCCUUUAUAAAAUGGAAAAGCAUGAACUAAAAAACCCAGAAAUAGCUAUCUGGCUUAGAUUUACAGGAUAAAAUCUCCAUGUCUGUAAAAACUUUAAGGCAGAAAUUUGGGAUUUAUGGUACAAACCCUUUAAGGGACUGUGAGUCAGUAAUACCCACAGCACUCAACAUUGUGAGUUUCCACACAUCCCUGGACUUGAGUGAGUCUUUCCAAGUGUUUGUUAAUGGUACAAAUGAUGACAAAAUUAGUGGUUCAAAAAUAUUAAAGUGCACAUGCUUUUUGCUUUCUCUAUGUAUACAGAGAUUACAUAUAUGUAUACUUUCUAGCGUCUAGCAAGUAUGGUAUGGCUAGGGAUAAUUAUGUUUUUCUGAUUAUUUUGUUUCCCAUCAAACACCCCACGAAUUUUACAGCAGACCGCCUUCUUGUCACCAUUUGAAAGAAUGUGGUCAGAAAAGUAAUGCAAAAACUGCCACUUUGGUUUUGUCUGUACCUUCCAGGUCAUAUCUCCGUACCUCACUUCCUGACACAAACAAGUUUUCACUGUUGUCAGCAACAAAGCCCUAAUAUAGCUGCGGAAGAGAAAAACUGCAUUGCAUUUUGCCUCCUGCAAGCAUCAUCAACAGUUACUGGAGGAACGUAAUUCCAGAAAGCUUGAAAGCCGUGGUGAUGGUAAUUAUGUAUCAAAUGCCUGGUUCUAUUUCUGUUAUUAUUGUUUUGUCAUUUCUGUUUUCCCAGCGAUCUGACUGAACUCGCAGAGGGACAAAUCCAGUUUUUCUUUUUGACUUUUGUCAAACUAAAUCAGGCCUGAUAGAAAACUCAUUGCUCUCCGGGGAAACAAAGUAGGAGCCACGAAAUGUCAUUUUAACAGAGCGUGGGUUUGGUGACUGUAGGAAAGGAUUUGAGGACGCUCCUUCUGUUCGGCUUCCUAUGUCAUGAGCACAGGCUCCACGCACGCACAGACACCACGGCUCCCGGAUGCUGUGGCUCCCCGAUCGGGGCUCCUGCAGCGCCAGAAGCCCCUCCGGGAUGCUUCGAGGGGCUCCCGGUGGGUGGAGGUACGGACGCCGCUGCGGCCGCCGCCGCCAGUCCUGCUGCUGUUGUUGCUGCUGCAGUCACGUGGGAGCCCCUUUAAGUUUCCAUAGAGAGGCCUCUCUGGUGUCACAUGAUGGACAUGAUAUAAUGAAACAACAUUGUGGAGAGGAAAGCAUUAGGGGAGCCCACGGCUACAAAAACAAGUGAGUGAGAAGAGGUGGGAGGAAGAGAAACUACGCCACCUCCCCUGCAGCCGAGUGCACGCAGCAGCCUGGCGUGACAAGUGGGCGACGCCGGGGGGCAGGGAGCCGGGGUCCUUGGCCCUGGCCGGGGACCCCACCGCCCACCGCGCGGAGGACAACUUUUAGCCGGCAGCCCAGACCAGCGCGGCACCUGUCUCCGGAGUCUCCACCGCUCCUCCCGAUUCAUCCCAGGGAAAUUCUCAAGAAUACGCUCUACAAAUCUACGUGCGCAUCAUUUUCACCUCGCGUCGCGCCCGGGAGGAAGGAACGAGGCAAGGAGCUAAAGCAGCGUGCGUUCAGCCCUGGGGCAUUUUAUUAAUGCUUUUACGAGUUAGAAGAGUUGGGAUAAUUUGCCAUCUGGAGUUUCUCUGCCUUGCUGAUCUGAGCUCAGACCUGCCAAUUUACCAGAGAUAAUUGAUAACACCCUGUAACAGCUGAGAGGAAAAUGGAAGAAACGGAGAUACUUUUAGUGAAGCAGAAUAAACCACUGAACAGGAAAAAUGAGGAAGCUGUGAGUACCAGUGGAAGGAACGAGCCAGGAAGAGGGACUGGAACCAUCUCAGAAGCCAUGCCCCUCAGGCUGGAACUUGCCCUGUCUCCUCGCAGAUGAGGUAGGAGGCUCAGCACGGGCUGGUGGGAGCAGCCCACAGCAGCAGUGAGGGUCAGUGGGCCUGUGAGUUAAGAAGAAGGUGGCACAGAGCGAGGGUCUCUGGAUCCUGACUGUUUGACUUUUCCAUGAUUAGGAUAAGUAGCCAGGGCUUGGCUAGUUGGAGAGUUACUCGAACCUCAGGUGACAGUUGUAAGGCAGCACAUAGUGAAAAAGAGUCCUAGCCUGGGAAAGUCCAAAACCUUAGGUCUGGUUUCAGUUCACUCACCUAUCUCUGUGACAUAGCAAAGUCUGUUAAUUUCUCUAAUUUUCUGAUUAGUAGUAUAGUUGCAGGAAUGAAAUAAAAAUGGUCCUGAUUACUCAGAGAUUCAUUUACUGAUUACUCUUUUUGUGACCUGAAUAAAGAGUACAACAUCUCUCAAAAGGUAACAAUAUGAUGUUUCAGGAAAUUAGAGAAGUUAAGAGACUUUGCUGUAUUUACUAUACAGAUAGUUGACUGACAGCUGAGCCCGGACCCAAGAUUCAUUUAUAAAAUGAAGGAGUUGAGAAGUACAUACUCUGAGGUUUAUCCUAAAUAAACUGAAGUCUAGGCAAGUGGCUGAGCUAGGUUUGCCAUGAAUCAAUCUGCUGAGUAUAUUUCUUGGUAACUAGUUCAUCUUUCCUUAAUUCAGUCAACAAAUAUGAUAUCAAGUUUAGUAAGAUGAUGACAGUUGUCAUGUAAUACUCCAUCUGGAAGAUUGUAUGCUUCUCAGCUUCCCUAACUUUUCUUAAUCUACCUUAAGCUUCCUUUCUGAAAGGUUUCUGUCUUUCCUAACAGUCUCUUCUUUCCGCCAGCUACCUCUUGUGUUUAAGAAUUAAAGGAAGAUGAGCUAGGAAUCAAGAAAUACGCAGAACUGAUUCCUGUCACUGGCGCCACCCUGCCACUUGCCCAGAGCUGUGGUAUAAAUUUUUUUAAUAGGCUGAAAUAAAAAUAUGAAUAGCAUUUUGGUAUUAAGCAUUAAAUUGAUAAAGGCUAUGAGAUACACCUGCUCUCAACCAUGUUAAUUUUUUAUUAUUGGUAUUAAUAAAUUAUUACUUACUAACAUAUUAACAAGAAUUGCAUUGAGAAACAAAGCAUCCACAGGCCAAAUCUUCUGAAUUUCAAAUGUUUAUAUUAAUGCGUUGUAUUCUAGAAAAGUAGAAUUGUCUUAAGUAGCUUUGUAAUAUAAAGUCAUCUAUCAGCCCAUUACACCUAUUAGAAUGUUUUAACCUUUAUUUCCCACUUUUUUGUUUCUAGACUGAGUGUACUUGGUCUGGUAUUUGUGGCAUAACUUACGGAACACAUAAGAAUGAUACAGAUACUAUUUAAUGAUGACCUAAUACAAGCUUAGAUAGCUAAGGUGAAAGCUUCUAUGGCCUUAACAUUUUCCUCUUGAAGAAUGUAUUUUCUGUAAUAAAAUACAGUGGCUACUUGAAAUCUAUAAACUUAUGUGAGGUCUGGAUAAAUCUGAGCAACUUUCUUCUUUGUGCUCCAGGAACCUACGCACUAUAUAUAUAAAUAAAGCUUAAGUAAACAUCACUGCAAUCUGUGUUUUGUUUGAUUAUAUUACGUAUUGCCUGAUCUUUAAAUAAUGAUGAAAAAUAGCCUUUAACAUAAACCAUGAAUGGAUAUGCACUUGAGGGAAACAGUUUCUUGGAUAAUUAAACUUUAAUUUCUCACCGUGGAUUCCUUGGAUCUUGUAAUAUUUUUUAAAACAGUCCUGGGGAUUUAUUUUUAAGGCGUCCAAAUGAAUUAUUAGUUCUCAAAAGCCAUAGUAUAUUCAUGGGUCGAUAUAUCCUCAAAACACUAUUUUUAAACUGCUUAGUUUAUUUUUCUUAGCGUGCUCAUCUGCUGCAUAAUUUUCUUUGCUAUGUAUGGGUCACAUGCUUCCUCCCGUCCAUAACUCACGCACUUAAAAUUCUCACUUCCUGAUUGAGCCAUCAGAUUACGUAAAAUGUAAAUCAGCCUGAAUACCUAGGAGCAGGAAUUUUAAGGGAGAAAAUGCCGUUUUCUUUUUCUGUGUCAUUAUUAACCCUUAAAUAUCAGAGUGAGUGUCUGCUCACCUAUUUGUAUUUGGAAACGAGAUACUGUUAGGGGUUUUUCUUGGCCCUUCCCUUUCAGAUUGAAUCAGACUUUGCUGCUUUCCUUAUACAAAAUAAUGUACCAACUAGAUAGACGGUGGGAGUGGUAUCGUUGCAGGAAUGAAA